rnacentral:misc_RNA from 1 species
GAUGAAGAACGCAGCGAAAUGCGAUAAGUAGUGUGAAUUGCAGAAUUCCGUGAAUCAUCGAAUCUUUGAACGCACAUUGCGCCUUCUGGUAUUCCGGAAGGCAUGCCUGUUCGAGAGUCAUUAACAACCGUUUCGAUCCCUUUCUUUCAGAAAUUACAAAGAGGAAAAGGGUUUGGUUAUGGUGGAGGAGGGAAAGGGAGCGUUUAGCCUGUAAAAAAAGAGGCUGUGUUCCGCCUCCCCCCCAAAAUUGUACAGGCGGUCGUGUGCGCCCACGCAUCGAGGUGUUGUAAAAGCUGCCACGGCACUUUUCACCUGUGCAGUGCGAGAUUGGCCAGCCGGUUUAAAAACCCCUCCAAACAAUCAACGGUUGACCUCGGAUCUGGUAGGGAUACCCGCUGAACUUAAGCAUAUCAAUAAGCGGAGGA